GACGGGGGAUGCAAGCGAUAUCCGGCAUCACUGGGCGUAAAGCGUCUGUAGGUGGUGAUGCAAGUCACUGGUGCAAAACUCUGGCUCAACCGGAGGAAAGCCAGUGAAACUGCAUGACUAGAGUGUGGGAGAGGUAGAAGGAAUUCCCUGAGUAGCGGUGAAAUGCGUAGAUACAGAGAAGAACACCGGAGGCGAAAGCGUUCUACUGGAACACAACUGACACUGAGAGACGAAAGCUAGGGGAGCGAAAGGG
rnacentral:rRNA from 1 species